UCUGGCCCAGGCCCAGUGGAUUAGGAGUUCCCGGGAGGAGGGCUGUGAGUGGGGGAAGUGACUGGUGACAGCAAAACAAGGUACACCACUUUCUGAAGGGCAACAAAUCAAAAUAAGCACCAUAAUCUGUCUGAGAAGAAGCAGAAGGCAUGGAUGGUCAUGGUUGACAUAUCAAGGAAGAUGCAGAUUAGUCUUUCUGCCUCAGACACAUCUAUCUGCUGAAAACAGCAAAUUCAGGUUCCUGGGAUCUACAUGCGACUAUAAACAUGACAUCAUGUAUUGAGGUCAGAUAGAUGUGAUAUUUGGAAGGUUCCUGUGAACAUCACUGGAGCUUCCGAGCCAUGGAAUGCGGCAGCAGGAGCCUUGGCAGA